CAGAUUGUUUUUAAGUCCUCUUAUCCGCGAUUUGGGUCCAUUUUUCAGCCAUAGUUGAUCAUUUUGAGAGCUUUUUUGAAGGGGAUUGAAGAGGGAUUCAAGGAGAAACGUUUGGAGAUUCAACGCGCGUGGAGGCUAAUUCGAGCGGUAAAGGCGUCGCGAGCUAAAGAAUUAGCCGGUUCGAGAUUCAGGCAUUGCUGGUUCCGCUCCUGAGUGUUGAUUCCUCCAAUUUCAGGCGGCUUUCAAGGAUUACGAG